GAUGAAGAACGUAGCGAAAUGCGAUACGUAAUGUGAAUUGCAGAAUUCAGUGAAUCAUCGAAUCUUUGAACGCAUAUUGCGCUCUUUGGUAUUCCGAAGAGCAUGCUUGUUUGAGUAUCAGUAAACACCUCAAAGUCUUUUUUUUUUCUUGAAGAAAAAGACCUUGGACUUGAGCAAUCCCAACUCUUCUUUCAGAAGAGGCGGGUUGCUUGAAAUGCAGGUGCAGCUGGACAUUCUCCUGAGCUAAAAGCAUAUUCAUUUAGUCCCGUCAAACGGAUUAUUACUUUUGCUGCAGCUAACAUAAAGGGAGUUUGACCAUUUUGGCUGACUGAUGCAGGAAUUUCACAAGAGUCUUCAAAACGCUCUUGUUAAACUCGAUCUCAAAUCAAGUAAGACUACCCGCUGAACUUAAGCAUAUCAAUAAGCGGAGGA
rnacentral:misc_RNA from 1 species